CACUCUUUAAUUAUCAAUGGCCCCCAGAUGCCCAGAGUCUCUGCAACCAUCCAGCCCCUCCAGGACUGGGACAGAUGUUGGAAAGACACCAGAAAGGAUGCAGAUAAAAUAAAUUCAUACAAAAAGCCACAUGAGGGCCAGGCUGCAGGUACAGAUUCUCAGGGCUUUGUCUGCUGAGUGUGCUUUGGGGUAACUAAGUGCUGGGUGUGGCCCCAUGAGGCCCGAACAGAGGGACUUUGCUAACUGUGUGGAGGCAGCCUGCAUGCAUCACAGCAAGAACUGAGUCUAGACGUGCAGC